rnacentral:misc_RNA from 1 species
AAGUCGUAACAAGGUCUCCGUUGGUGAACCAGCGGAGGGAUCAUUACAGAGUUGCAAGACUCCCUAAACCAUUGUGAACCUACCUUCUACCGUUGCUUCGGCGGGCGGGCUCAGCGCCCCCCCGGCCCCCCGCGGGCGCCCGCCGGAGGAUACCCAAACUCUUUGACAUUAGUGGCCUCUCUGAGUAUUCUUUACUGAAUAAGUCAAAACUUUCAACAACGGAUCUCUUGGUUCUG